AUUGAACGCUGGCGGCAGGCCUAACACAUGCAAGUCGAGCGGAUGAAGAGAGCUUGCUCUCUGAUUUAGCGGCGGACGGGUGAGUAAUGCCUAGGAAUCUGCCUGGUAGUGGGGGAUAACGUCCGGAAACGGGCGCUAAUACCGCAUACGUCCUACGGGAGAAAGCAGGGGACCUUCGGGCCUUGCGCUAUCAGAUGAGCCUAGGUCGGAUUAGCUAGUUGGUGAGGUAAUGGCUCACCAAGGCUACGAUCCGUAACUGGUCUGAGAGGAUGAUCAGACACACUGGAACUGAGACACGGUCCAGACUCCUACGGGAGGCAGCAGUGGGGAAUAUUGUACAAUGGGCGAAAGGCUGAUCCAGCCAUGCCGCGUGUGUGAAGAAGGUCUUCGGAUUGUAAAGCACUUUAAGUUGGGAGGAAGGGCAGUAAGUUAAUACCUUGCUGUUUUGACGUUACCGACAGAAUAAGCACCGGCUAACUUCGUGCCAGCCGCCGCCGUAAAAC
rnacentral:rRNA from 1 species